rnacentral:misc_RNA from 1 species
GUUGUGAUGAGCACACUUUGGAGCAUUAGCAGGAAGUUGCAAAUAGUUUGGUCCAAGUCGAUACCUCUGGGUAUCAGAGUAGGAGAAAAUACGAGUUUGAAGCAUCUUAUCAUCUGAGUAAUAAACACCUGGAACCACAAUAGAAGGGCAGAAAGCUAGCUGCUCAUUCUCAUUAAAGAAGUUAUCAAUGUUCUUGUUCAGAACUAAUCUUCCCACCGGCUGCAAAGGCAAGAUGUCCUCUGGCCAAGUUUUUGUCACAUCAAGUGGAUCAAGUCAAAUUUGUCUUCAUGUUCUGGAUCCAUAAUCUGAAUGAAGAGCUUCCAUUCAGGAUAAUUUCCAGCUGCAAUAGAGUCAUAGAGGUCCUGAGUAGCAUGG